UAAAAUUGCAUUUUUUUUUUUGCAUAAUCUAUACAAAAUCUGACAAUUUCACACAAACUGUUGCGGUAAAAAAAAAUCUGGUGACCCUUAUUUUAGAAAUAUUGGUAAAAAAGCAUUAUUUAAACUACAGUUUGACAAAUUAUUAAAAAAAAAAUGGAUCUGAAUUAAGACAGCCCCCAUCUACCUUAAUCACACAGACAGCAUUUUUCAUAUAUCCGUGUAUAACUAUAAAAACAAGCAAUUCAUGAGAGAAGAUUUACCAAAACCAUAUUGUGUUCAAUCAUUCAAAUAGGGUAGAACUUUUUAUAUCGAUUUUAUAAAUUUUAUUGAAAGGACAUUGUCAUAUCUGUAUUUUGAUAAAGACUGCCAUAUGUUUCAAUGUGUCUCGAAGUAACGAUCGGUGUUGUGUUGAUUAGAAAUAUCUCAAUAGUUUGAUAUGUUACCAC
rnacentral:lncRNA from 1 species